rnacentral:miRNA from 1 species
GGAGCAUGGCCCUGGUUAACACCUUGAUUUUGGACUUCUCACCUCCGGAACUGUGAGACAAUAAAUUUCUGUUGUUUUGAGCCACCCAGUUUGUGGUACUUUGCAACGGCAGCCCUAGAAA